AUGCCCAGGGCUCCGCAGGGCAUGUGGGGACAUGAAGAGGGGCCAGCACCCCGAUAUCAACACGGGGUGCCCAAGGGGGAGCAGGCUGGGGACGGGUGGCAGCGAUACGUACCGAACUUGGGAGGCUUAGCACCUGGCUGCACCCCUACUUGGGGGAUGCCUGCAAAGCAAACAAGGGCACCGCGUUUAGGACAGGCACCCCCGUGCCCCCCAUCCCACCCACCCCCCACAUCUGGGUGCAGUGCUGCCCUCACCUGCCCCGGGGAGAACGCCGGCACCGGGUACCCCCACGCUCGGCACCAACCCAGGGACGCCGCCAACGCCGGGUGUCACUCCUGGCACACCGGGACCACCGGGCACCGCGCCUGGCACCCCUCCGACACCGGCACCUGCAGGAGAGGGGGUGAGGACACAGCCCAGGGCUGCAUGGGGCUGGGCAAUGCCAUGCCGGCAUACGCUAACCCUGUGUGGAGAUGGACUCACCGUACUUGGCUGCCUUGGCUGCUGCUUUUGCUGCUGCUGCCGGACCUCCGACUCCUGGGACACCUCCAAUGCCGGGGGCCAGGCCACCCACACCAGGAACCAAGCCACCCACACCAGGAGCCAGGCCACCUAUGCCAGGAGCCAGGCCACCCACGCCAGGAGCCAGGCCACCUGCCCCUGCAAGAAGAAGGAGAAGGACUGGGGCUCCAGCUCAGGAAGAGGGACCGGGGCUGCGAGAGGGCUGGGAUGGCCGGAGGUGCAGGUGGGAGGACGGUGGGAGAGGUGGUGGGAAGGAUGGUGGAUGG
rnacentral:lncRNA from 1 species